rnacentral:tRNA from 1 species
GAGGGUACAGCUCACGGGUAGAACACAGGCUUUGCAUGCCUGAGGUCCUGGGUUCAACCCCAGUACUUCCA